UCCUUCAUUCCACCGGAGUCUGUGUCUUUAACCAAUCAGAUUUCAGUGGUGUGAAGUGUA
rnacentral:pre_miRNA from 1 species